rnacentral:rRNA from 1 species
AAUGAACGUUGGCGGCGUGGAUUAGGCAUGCAAGUCGUGCGGAAAGGCUCCUUCGGGAGUACUCGAGCGGCGAAAGGGAGAGUAACGCGUGGAUAUCUACCCCCUGGCCUGGGAUAGCGGCGGGAAACUGCCGGUAAUACCAGAUAAUGUCUGCGGACCAAAGGUGUGAUUCCGUCGGGGGAUGAGUUCGCGUCCUAUUAGCUAGUUGGUAGGGUAAUGGCCUACCAAGGCACAAAUGGGUACCGGGUGUGAGAGCAUGGCCCGGCUCACUGGGACUGGGACACUGCCCAGACACCUACGGGUGGCUGCAGUCGAGAAUCUUCGGCAAUGGGCGCAAGCCUGACCGAGCGACGCCGCGUGCGGGAUGAAGGCCUUCGGGUUGUAAACCGCUGUCAGAGGGGAGGAAAUGCGUAGGAGUUCUCUCUUACGUUUGACCUAUCCUCAGAGGAAGUACGGGCUAAGUUCGUGCCAGCCGCCGCGGUAAGAC